UGUAUAUAUCUACGAUACAUGAUUGUAAAGGUAACCAAGCAUUGAGUCAAGCAAUAAUGCAAACUACUGUAAACUGUCAAGAGUGCAAAAAGGAACCAAUUCGAUGGAAAUGUAGGCAGUGCACGACAUAUUUCUGUAGCGCGUGUAAACUCACUCAUAGAGAAUAUACUCGAAAUGAAAAAUUUCAACAUAAAGUGGUUGCUUUCAAUGCUGCCGAAAUAUCCGAUCUGAGUGAUUUUAAUAGAAUAUUUAGUGGAAAUGAGAAAAGAGAAAAAAGACUUAAAAUUACUGACAUCAAAAUAGUGGGUGUCUCAUUGAUGUAUGUGUUACUUGCCCUAAUGCCGAUUUGUCCUGUAACUGACACAAGACUUAAUAUGUAUACAUCCACAAUAGACCAAUGGACAGGAUUUAAAUUUGAUACUGCAGUAGUUUGCUUUGGAUUUGGAGCAGUCGGAUUAUCAUGUGCGUUCAUUUUGUCAUACGGAUAUUUCUGGCGCCGUGUUAAUUUCAUUAAAGGAGUUGGAAUUGUCAUGACGGCCCAUAUUCUGAUUUUUGUAUUAUCUGGGUUUGUCGUUGAACCCAUAUUAAUUUUCGCUUUAUAUCCAUUUGCCUACUAUGUGUACAAGAAGACUAACCAAUAUAAGAUAACCCCGUUCGGAAAUUUGACAUUUAAAGGCCCAGUUAAGAAACAUGACUAAGUUAAACAAAAUAUCGAACUCAACAUCUUUUGGAGUUUUAAAAGACUGAUGUGCGGUUUCUUAUAAUUUUCAUUCCAGUCUGGUGGAUCACUGACUAGUCAAAUAAUGGGUGUAUGGUGAAUGUCAAUAACAGUUCUUCUUAUACUACAAUCUUGAAGACAAUUGUUAUUUCUAAUCUAAUGAAAUCAUGUAUCACAUUAAAAGUGUUGUGCAAUUUUCGGCAUAACCCUCUGAGUGUGUCAUUUUGUUUCUGUUUGCAUGGCACAUUUUAUUUACAAGUUAAGCUGACAAUUAUGUACUUUCACUUCUUUUCCAUUUUACUCAAUCCUGUAACGUUCGUAUCAGGCUGAUAUCCUGUUGAAAUGAAACAAAAGAAAUGGAACUCAUUAUUAGAGAAGGUAUGAAUGAUCAAGUUGGUAUAUUUGAUUUUUUUUACAUCUGUUUCUGUGGGCUUUAGAAGAUUAAUGUAGAUGCAUAAUUUAGGAUUUUUUGCAUCUAAUAUACGUGUGAAUAGUAAAAAAAAAUCAUAGAAUGGAACCUCGAGAUAUAUGUGAACUUUGAAAGAAAAGACAAAUUUUCACAAAACAGUCCAUUAUGGUCGGUGCGAAUACAUGUGGAUUUGUUUUUGCAUAAAAAUAACUUCAACUGAAACAAACCAUUGAAAGAUAGAAAAUUAUCAUUUCAAAUCAUUAAUUUGCAUCUUUUUUUUGGAAGAAAAUCCUAAAAUGAACAUCAAUAUCAUCGAAAAGAGAUAGUCGGAUGUACCUUUUUAUGUUCAGGCGUGUUUGAGUUGACUAUUUUGUUUUAAAAACGUAUAAAGCACAAACACAUUUGAUAAAUCAUCUCGGUUUAGAUUCCUUUUUUUUUUAUUAUUAAGGCUACGUGUUGAUAUAACAAUAUUAAAAAUUCACAGUACAAAGAAAUCAACUAUAUUAGUCAACUGAAAUACCUUUCUAAUGAGUCAUAACAACAGAUUAGGUUGUUUGAAUAACAAACAAAAAAAAAACGAUUCGUGUUACAAAAAGGCAUUGUACAUCAUUCUGAUGAACCAGCUAUAUUUUCAAAGUGUGACCUUUAUAAAGUGAAGUGCCAGACGUAUAGGUAUGAUAUAUCUUUUAUAUAGUAGAACAAUUGUACAUGACUAAACAACUCUGAUUUUGUCUUAUAUUUCUUGUCACUAUUGUGCUACACUAUUCAAUAAAAUCUCUAGUAUUCUGA